CUAUACAUGACUCUGCGCAUAUCAAUAAGCGGAGGAAAAGAAACUAACAAGGAUUCCCCUAGUAACGGCGAGUGAAGCGGGAAGAGCUCAAAUUUGAAAUCUUAAAGGGUUUCCCUUUACGAAUUGUAGUUUAAAGAAGUGUUUUCUGUUGAGGUUUUGGUAAAAGUUCUUUGGAAUAGGACAUCAUAGAGGGUGAGAAUCCCGUAUUUGACCUUUACUUUCAACUUUGUGAUACACUUUCAAAGAGUCGGAUUGUUUGGGAAUGCAGUCCAAAAUGGGUGGUAAAUUUCAUCUAAAGCUAAAUAUUGGCGAGAGACCGAUAGCGAACAAGUACCGUGAGGGAAAGAUGAAAAGAACUUUGAAAAGAGAGUUAAACAGUACGUGAAAUUGUCAAAAGGGAAGCGUUUGACACCAGUGUUGUUUUUCUGAAAAUCAAUUAAAGAACUGUUUAUGCUAAGUUGUUUAGACUUUAUCAGCUAAUCUGCUUAGUUUUGAGCUUUUCUUUAAUGCACUUUUCAGUUAACAAGUCAACAUCAAUUUCUUUUGCUGUAAAAAAGCUUGAGGAAGGUGGCUUGAGAUUCGUCUUAAGUGUUUAUAGCCUCUUGCCUAUGCAGUCGGAGAGAUUGAGGUCUGCAGCGUAGAUCCUUCGGGGCUAAAUGCAUUUGUGCUAAGUUAUAGCAUUUUAUAGACAACUUGUUGACUAUGAUUUGUCUUGUAGCUUACUCGCUUAUGUUAUUUUACCUACGCUUAGGAUGUUGAUCUACAGAGCGAGAGU
rnacentral:rRNA from 1 species